AAAAAAUACUAUUGUUAGAUAAAUUUAUUAAAUCUGAUCAUCAUGCACUGACAUGCACGCUCACUACAACAGAAUUAGGUUAUAGAGACACAUGUUUGGGACAUUUUUGAGUAAGUGUCUCAUUUAUGCUAAAACUUAAAAACACAUCUACUAAUGCCUAAAUAUAAAGCCCAAUCCUACCAAAAAUAAAAGAUUACUCUACUCAACCCACCACACUCAGUCCAUUUGGCUCGAUUACAAACAGAAAAGAAAAAAAAAAAAUCAAUUACCAUCUUUUCUUCUCUCUUCACUCAAUCCACUGAAAUUCUAGACGAAGAGCCUUUACUGUCGUCCUUCUCCGCCACCGCAGCCAACGAGAUAGAGUUUCGGCGGUUGCUAAAUGCUUAAAUAAGUGUUGGUAAAUUAGCAGCACUCUUUUAGGUUAUAGCGACACUCUUUUAACUGUCACUACAUACCUAGCGACCCCACAUAUAGCAACACUUUUUAAAAGUGUCGGUAAUUUUAGCUAGCAGCACUUUUUUGACAUGUACCUACAUUUAAAAGUGUUGCUAUAGACCGUUUUUGUUGUAGUGGCUAGCUGAUCAAUUCGUAAGAAACAUGUCUCCAUACUUUUUAC
rnacentral:lncRNA from 1 species